rnacentral:rRNA from 1 species
GUCGAACGCUUCUUUUUCCACCGGAGCUUGCUCCACCGGAAAAAGAGGAGUGGCGAACGGGUGAGUAACACGUGGGUAACCUGCCCAUCAGAAGGGGAUAACACUUGGAAACAGGUGCUAAUACCGUAUAACAAUCAAAACCGCAUGGUUUUGAUUUGAAAGGCGCUUUCGGGUGUCGCUGAUGGAUGGACCCGCGGUGCAUUAGCUAGUUGGUGAGGUAACGGCUCACCAAGGCCACGAUGCAUAGCCGACCUGAGAGGGUGAUCGGCCACAUUGGGACUGAGACACGGCCCAAACUCCUACGGGAGGCAGCAGUAGGGAAUCUUCGGCAAUGGACGAAAGUCUGACCGAGCAACGCCGCGUGAGUGAAGAAGGUUUUCGGAUCGUAAAACUCUGUUGUUAGAGAAGAACAAGGAUGAGAGUAACUGUUCAUCCCUUGACGGUAUCUAACCAGAAAGCCACGGCUAACUACGUGCCAGCAGCCGCGGUAAUACGUAGGUGGCAAGCGUUGUCCGGAUUUAUUGGGCGUAAAGCGAGCGCAGGCGGUUUCUUAAGUCUGAUGUGAAAGCCCCCGGCUCAACCGGGGAGGGUCAUUGGAAACUGGGAGACUUGAGUGCAGAAGAGGAGAGUGGAAUUCCAUGUGUAGCGGUGAAUGCGUAGAUAUAUGGAGGAACACAGUGGCGAAGCGGCUCUCUGUCUGUACUGACCUGAGCUCGAAGCGUGGGAGCAACAGGAUA